GCGUAAAGCNUGCGCNGGCGGUUUGNUAAGANCGAUGUGAAAUCCCCGGGCUCNACCUGGGAACUGCAUNGGUGACUGGCAGGCUAGAGUAUGGCAGAGGGNNGUAGAAUUCCACGUGUAGCAGUGAAAUGCGUAGAGAUGUGGAGGAAUACCGAUGGCGAAGGCAGCCCCCUGGGCCAAUACUGACGCUCAUGCACGAAAGCGUGGGGNGCAAACAGGAUUAGAUACCCUGGUAGUCCACGCCCUAAACGAUGUCAACUAGUUGUUGGGNAUUCAUUUCCUUAGUAACGUAGCUAACGCGUGAAGUUGACCGCCUGGGGUGUACGGUCGCAAGAUUAAAACUCAAAGGAAUUGACGNGGACCCGCACAAGCGGUGGAUGAUGUGGAUUAAUUCGAUGCAACGCGAAAAACCUUACCUACCCUUGACAUGGUCGGAAUCCUGCUGAGAGGUGGGAGUGCUCGAAAGAGAACCGGCGCACAGGU
rnacentral:rRNA from 1 species